GACGAACGCUGGCGGCGUGCUUAACACAUGCAAGUCGAACGGAGGAUUUAUUUCGGUAAAUCCUUAGUGGCGAACGGGUGAGUAACGCGUGGGCAAUCUGCCCUUCAGAUGGGGACAACAUCCCGAAAGGGGUGCUAAUACCGAAUACGAUCGUGUUCCCGCAUGGGAUUACGAUGAAAGAUGGCCUCUAUUUAUAAGCUAUCGCUGAAGGAUGAGCCUGCGUCUGAUUAGCGAGUUGGUGGGGUGACGGCCUACCAAGGCGAUGAUCAGUGGCCGGUCUGAGAGGAUGAACGGCCACAUGGGGACUGAGACACGGCCCAAACUCCUACGGGAGGCAGCAGUGGGGAAUAUUCCGCAAUGGACGAAAGUCUGACGGAGCAACGCCGCGUGAGGGAUGAAGGUUUUCGGACUGUAAAGCUCUGUUGUUUAGGACGAAAGUGCCUGUUGCAAAUAGUUACAGGUAUUGACGGUACUGAACGAGGAAGCCACGGCUAACUACGUGCCAGCAGCCGCCGUAA
rnacentral:rRNA from 1 species